rnacentral:rRNA from 1 species
CCUACGGGAGGCAGCAGUGGGGAAUUUUGCGCAAUGGGGGAAACCCUGACGCAGCGACGCCGCGUGAAGGAUGAAGGUCUUCGGAUUGUAAACUUCUUUUGUCGGGGAAGAUAAUGACGGUACCCGAUGAAUAAGCCACGGCUAACUCUGUGCCAGCAGCCGCGGUAAGACAGAGGUGGCAAGCGUUGUUCGGAAUUACUGGGCUUAAAGGGCGCGUAGGCGGUGGAGUAAGUCUGAGGUGGAAGAUUAGGGCCUAACCCUAAAAUUGCCUUGGAAACUGCAUCACUUGAGUCAGCGAGGGGAUGGCGGAAUUCCAGGUGUAGCGGUGAAAUGCGUAGAUAUCUGGAGGAAGGCCGGUGGCGAAGGCGGCCAUCUGGCGCUGAACUGACGCUGAGGCGCGAAAGCGUGGGGAGCAAACAGGAUUAGAUACCCUGGUAGUCCACGCCGUAAACGAUGGGCACUAGGUGUAGGAGGUAUUGACCCCUUCUGUGCCGAAGCUAACGCAUUAAGUGCCCCGCCUGGGGAGUACGGCCGCAAGGCUAAAACUCAAAGGAAUUGACGG